CCAUUAGCUUGUUGGUGGGGUAAUGGCCUACCAAGGCGACGAUGGGUAGCCGGCCUGAGAGGGUGUACGGCCACAUUGGGACUGAGAUACGGCCCAGACUCCUACGGGAGGCAGCAGUUAAGAAUCUUGCGCAAUGGGCGAAAGCCUGACGCAGCGACGCCGCGUGGACGAUGAAGGCCUUCGGGUUGUAAAGUCCGGUAAGCAGGGAAGAAUAAGUGUAAAGUAAUAUCUUGCACGAUGACGGUACCUGCCUAAAGCCCCGGCUAACUACGUGCCAGCAGCCGCGGUAAUACGUAUGGGGCAAGCGUUGUUCGGAAUUAUUGGGCAUAAAGGGCGUCUAGGCGGGGGACUAAGUUAGGUGUGAAAGCCAUGGGCUCAACCCAUGAAUUGCACCUAAAACUGGUUUUCUUGAGUUCGGGAGAGGAGAGCGGAAUUCCCGGUGUAGCGGUGAAAUGCGUAGAUAUCGGGAAGAACACCAGUGGCGAAGGCGGCUCUCUGGCCUAGAACUGACGCUGAAGCGCGAAAGCGUGGGGAGCGAACGGGAUUAGAUACCCCGGUAGUCCACGCCGUAAACGUUGUGUACUAGGUGUUAGUGGCUUGACCACUAGUGCCGUCGCAAACGCAUUAAGUACACCGCCUGGGGAGUACGUCCGCAAGGAUGAAACUCAAAGAAAUUGACGGGGGCCCGCACAAGCGGUGGAGCAUGUGGUUUAAUUCGAUGAUACGCGAAGAACCUUACCUGGGCUUGAACUGUACUUGAUCGGUGUAGAGAUACACCCUCCUUCGGGCAGGUGCAGAGGUGCUGCAUGGUUGUCGUCAGCUCGUGUCGUGAGAUGUUGGGUUAAGUCCCGCAACGAGCGCAACCCUUACCCCUUGUUGCCAUCAGGUAAUGCCGAGCACUCUAGGGGAACUGUCGGUGAUAAACCGGAGGAAGGUGGGGAUGACGUCAAAUCAUCACGGCCCUUAUGUCCAGGGCUACACACGUGCUACAAUGGCCGGUACAAUGAGUUGCGAGACCGCGAGGUGGAGCUAAUCCCAAAAAACCGGUCUCAGUUCGGAUUGCAGUCUGCAACUCGACUGCAUGAAGCUGGAAUCGCUAGUAAUCGCGGAUCAGCACGCCGCGGUGAUACGUUCCCGGGCCUUGUACACACCGCCCGUCACACCACCCGAGUUGGCAGCACCCGAAGUGGCUGAUCUAAC
rnacentral:rRNA from 1 species